rnacentral:rRNA from 1 species
AUUGAACGCUGGCGGCAUGCUUUACACAUGCAAGUCGGACGGCAGCGGGGUAGUGCUUGCACUACUGCCGGCGAGUGGCGAACGGGUGAGUAAUAUAUUGGAACGUACCGGGUAAUGGGGGAUAACCAAUCGAAAGAUUGGCUAAUACCGCAUACGCUCUGAGGAGGAAAGCAGGGGACCUUCGGGCCUUGCGUUAUUCGAGCGGCCAAUAUCCGAUUAGCUAGUUGGUGGGGUAAAGGCCUACCAAGGCGACGAUCAGUAGCGGGUCUGAGAGGAUGAUCCGCCACACUGGGACUGAGACACGGCCCAGACUCCUACGGGAGGCAGCAGUGGGGAAUUUUGGACAAUGGGCGCAAGCCUGAUCCAGCCAUGCCGCGUGUCUGAAGAAGGCCUUCGGGUUGUAAAG